rfam:Schistosoma curassoni strain Dakar, Senegal genome assembly, scaffold: SCTD_scaffold0001699
AUCCAGCUGACGAGUCCCAAAUAGGUUGAAACGCAAGUCUUGGAU